rnacentral:rRNA from 1 species
UACGGAGGGUGCAAGCGUUAUCCGGAUUCACUGGGUUUAAAGGGCGUGUAGGUGGUUUCGUAAGUCUGGCGUGAAAUUUUUCGGCUUAACCAGGAAAGGUCGUCGGAUACUGCGGAGCUAGAGGACGGUAGAGGCGUGUGGAAUUCCGGGUGUAGUGGUGAAAUGCGUAGAGAUCCGGAGGAACACCAGUGGCGAAGGCGACACGCUGGGCCGUACCUGACACUGAUGCGCGACAGCAUGGGGAGCAAACAGG